AAUAAGAGAGAGAAAAAUUGCGAGUCAGAGAGGCACGAAAAAGAGCGGAAAACAAGAAUACCUAGCCAAUUUAAAUGUGAAUCUUCGAUGAUGUGGGACUGCUUUAUAAAACAAGUGAAGGAAAUAUAGAGGUAGUUUUAACUUAAACGCUAGUUAACAAAUAUACACGCAGAUGCUUCUCAUUGGUAAAAUUGAGUGUGAAAAUCGCUCUGGAAAAUAGGCUGGUGGCGACAGAGCGUGCCGGCGUCUGGAUGGUCACCGAGCGUCCCUGCGACUGGGUCCGCCCCUGCGACUGGGAGACCGCCGAGCGGCCCUGAGGGGUGGCCGGGCUGCCGCGCUGCUGCCGCUGCUGCGGCGACUGCUGCGCCAGCUGCUGCUGUCGCACAGCCGCCGCCGGCGACAUGGCCUGGCCGGACGGAGGAAAACGGUUAUGACAGCGCCGGGAGCAGCCGUACAGAACACUCAAUAUAAGUUAAAACUGAA